rnacentral:rRNA from 1 species
UACGUAGGGAGCAAGCGUUGCUCGGAUUUACUGGGCGUAAAGGGCGCGUAGGCGGCGCGACAAGUCACUUGUGAAAUCUCCGGGCUUAACUCGGAACGGUCAAGUGAAACUGUCAUGCUAGAGUGCAGAAGGGGCAAUCGGAAUUCUUGGUGUAGCGGUGAAAUGCGUAGAUAUCAAGAGGAACACCUGAGGUGAAGACGGGUUGCUGGGCUGACACUGACGCUGAGGCGCGAAAGCCAGGGGAGCAAACGGG